GCUCUCGUAGUUCAAUGGAUAGAAUGUGAGUUUGCGGAACUCAUGAUCUAGGUUCGAUUCCUAGCGAGAGCACAA
rnacentral:tRNA from 1 species